UCCCUGGUGGUCCAGUGGCUAAGAUUCUGUGUUUCCAAUGCAGGGGUUUCAGGUUUGAUCCCUGGUUGGGGAA
rnacentral:tRNA from 1 species